AAUCAAUUGGCUGUUCUAACGGUAGUCCUUUGGUUUGGGAAUACAAGGCCUCGAGUGAAGGAAGCUGUGAAGUGAAGCAGAAAUGUGGAAAAUGGAAUCCACUGCUGUGGAAGGCUUCACUUGAGAUUUUUGAAGCUAAACAGUCUGGGAAAUGGUGGCAGAUGCGGGUAGCAUAUUGCAGAGAUUGAACCGCACAACCAACGGCACCGUGUAACUUGGACCAAAGCGAGGAAAAUCACAGGCUCCAAAAUAGCUUCAGUGCAAUGGAGGAAAAUGUGAAGUAAUGUGUUGUGGUGGAGAGCAGUUAAACUUGUCUCACAAACUAAUGAGUUCAGGACGCUCAAGGAAACAAAUCUCCAGCCUAAUUCAGCAGCAGCUGAGGCAAGAAGGGACAGCGUUCCCUUAAAGGCAGUAUGAAGGAGCCCAUGGACUUUCCUGGAAGGCUUAAGUUGGAUGGCCCCGGAAGGGUCACUCUUGCAGCCACCACAGCGGAAGAAUAAAUGUGAUGCCUGGGCAGAAUCAGCCACCAAGUCUGGUCUUGCUUCCUCCCACAUUCUCAACAUUCCUCUCUCCCUUCCCACCACCGCCUUGCUGAACCAGCUGCUCAGCACCUCCUGCCUGCUGCUAGAUCAAGCCUGCAUCUGCUGACAAGGGCCGCUCCUGCUCAGAAACCUCCAGGAGGUCCCCACUUCCCACAGAACGGACUUCCAAUUCCUCAACCUGCGCACUGAUCAACUUCGCAUAGCUGUCGGGUCUUCCGGUCUGUUUCCUCGUCGCGCUGUAUGACGUCAUGAGCUUCUCCGGAAGAGGAUGGCGUCUCUUUGAUCCUUGUGGCCUCACCUGCUCUAUGUAAUAGCUUCUCAUUAAUGUGUGUUGAAUCCUUGCUGCUAAUUCGCAUCCUUCAGGGGAAAAGACAUGAGGCUGCAUUUCAGCUCUACCUCUUGCUAGCUUUGUGCUCUUGUGUCAGCUGCCUGGUGGCUCUGAGCCCCAUUUUCCUUACAGAUUUCUGUUAGUGCCUGGCACCACGCCUUAACACAGAGGAAAUAUCCAUGACAUAUUUGUGAAAUGGGUAGGAACAAGUGAGUUAUUUCAUGAAUGAAUGGAGUACUUGGUAGCCAGAGUAAGGAAGUACUUCAAGAAUGAGAAAACAGGGAUCGUCAGCGAAGAGGCAUGCAGUAAAUAACCCUCCCUCACUUGAAGUGAAGACAGCCUACAGGGGAGAACUGGCUCUGUUAAAGACUCCAAGCCACAAAGGUCGUUUCCUCUGGAGAUGAUGAACAUGAGCUAGAAAGAGAGGGAACAGCCACCUACGUGGUGCAGCUGCUUCCCCUAAAACACCAAAAAUCAGGCUCCAACUCCCUUACUCUCCAAUUAAAAGUGAGUGGAACUCAUAAAUGGCAUCUCUUGCCAUAUACCUGUGAUUUAUCUUAUUGUUUUCAUACUCUUAUUUAUUAAAAGUCUGCUGUAUGCCCAA